rnacentral:rRNA from 10 species
AAUACGACUCUCGGCAACGGAUAUCUCGGCUCUCGCAUCGAUGAAGAACGUAGCGAAAUGCGAUACUUGGUGUGAAUUGCAGAAUCCCGUGAACCAUCGAGUCUUUGAACGCAAGUUGCGCCCCAAGCCAUUAGGCUGAGGGCACGUCUGCCUGGGUGUCACGC